UACGUAGGCAGCAAGCGUUGUUCGGAAUUACUGGGCGUAAAGAGUGUGUAGGCGGUGUUCUAAGUUUGUCGUGAAAUCUCCCGGCUUAACUGGGAGGGUGCGGCGAAAACUGGAAUGCUAGAGGAUGGGAGAGGUAAGCGGAAUUCCUGGUGUAGCGGUGAAAUGCGUAGAUAUCAGGAGGAACACCGUGGUCGGUGAGUGAGACCAGCUUACGUGGACCAAUU
rnacentral:rRNA from 1 species